AGAGCGUUCUACGGGCCGCUGAAGCGCUGGAUGGCUGUCUCGGGGAUCCUGCGGGCCGGAGUCUGGACGAGCGGAUGGAGGGCGUAUCAGAGAGGAUUCUGGGGAAACGUGCGGGGCGAAGGCUUCCUGCUGGGGGCGGUGUAUGUCAUCGGACCGGGUGCACAGGGAAUCCUGCUGGAACACAGAGAGAUGGAGUUCGGAGACAAGGUCAAGAAGUCUGACGUGAUUCAAGCUGUUGAACAGAUAAAAAAUGACACUAAAAAAGCCUAAAAUAUCACACGCUUACUGAAAACCCCUUCAGCUUGAAUGUGUUUUAUUCUAAAGUACUCCAUUAUAUAUGCAUGCGUGUGUGUGUGUGUGUGUGUGUGUGUAGUUGAUGACAGACUGACUCUAAACUCAGAUGAAGGAUCAGUCUCGAUGUUUCUUGCUCUACACACACACACAGAAACCUAUCAAAUACACCAAUAAAACACACACUAUCAUCGAUCAAAUGUGUUGUUAUUAUUUGUGAAUGCAUUACUGUGUAUUGAACUGUGUCCCUGCAGCACAGAAGCUAGUCUAGGCUAACAAAACAAUGUGAUUAAUUAUCAAACACAUUGAGAAAUAUUAAAUGUCAAAAAUGUUCUAUUUUAACGUGAAUCCAGUUAGGGUCAAUUUGGCCGCACCAUAAAGAUCAAACCCAGAUUUGUAACACAAUUAAAGAUGCUCAAACAUG